CGCCUGCACUGCACUGGAUACGGCUUUGGACCGAGAGCUCGUCCGCGGUCCGCUGCUGGAGGGGGAAAACACCCGGGGUGUAAUGCUCUUAACUCUUCGGUGUGAUCUGAUGGAAACGGCGGGAUUGCUGCGUAAGCUUGCGGCUCGCGUAAGAACCUGAGAAAGUGAGAAGAAAGUGAGCGCGAGAGAGCAAGCUUGGACUCCCUCUGUUCUACUAGAGCUGGAAGGGUGAAGGUCAGAAUGUCUCAUGAAGAUAACAAUCAGCCUCAUCUUCUCUAACGGCCACUAAUGCGAUGAUAUUUAACAGCUCAACACGCUUGGAGGAGAGCACUAACUACCUGUUCUGCUAAUCAGGUAAAACAUUCUCUCAUACUCUCACCUACUAGCAUUGAACCAUUCUACACACUACUGGCUAUGGAUG
rnacentral:lncRNA from 1 species